AUCUCAUGGUUAGGGAAAAUUGUGAGCAUUUCCUUGAAUCUUUCCCAUGCUUCAAACUAAGGUUCUUCAUUUAGUUGAUGGAAAUUAACAAUCUCAUCCUGCAAUAU
rfam:Capsicum annuum cultivar Zunla-1 chromosome 6, whole genome shotgun sequence